GACGAACGCUGGCGGCGUGCUUAACACAUGCAAGUCGAACGGAAAGGCCCUGCUUUUGUGGGGUGCUCGAGUGGCGAACGGGUGAGUAACACGUGAGUAACCUGCCCUUGACUUUGGGAUAACUUCAGGAAACUGGGGCUAAUACCGGAUAGGAGCUCCUGCUGCAUGGUGGGGGUUGGAAAGUUUCGGCUGUUGGGGAUGGACUCGCGGCUUAUCAGCUUGUUGGUGGGGUAGUGGCUUACCAAGGCUUUGACGGGUAGCCGGCCUGAGAGGGUGACCGGCCACAUUGGGACUGAGAUACGGCCCAGACUCCUACGGGAGGCAGCAGUGGGGAAUAUUGCACGAUGGGCGGAAGCCUGAUGCAGCAACGCCGCGUGCGGGAUGACGGCCUUCGGGUUGUAAACCGCUUUCGCCUGUGACGAAGCGUGAGUGACGGUAAUGGGUAAAGAAGCACCGGCUAACUACGUG
rnacentral:rRNA from 1 species